rnacentral:rRNA from 1 species
UACGUAGGGGGCGAGCGUUGUCCGGAGUUACUGGGCGUAAAGCGCUUGUAGGCGGUCCACCAAGUUUGGGGUGACAGUUGCCGACUUAAUCGGCAAAGUGCCUCAAAGACUGGCGGACUUGAGGGCCACAGAGGGACAUGGAACUCCAGGUGUAGUGGUGAAAUGCGUAGAUAUCGAGAGGAACACCGGUGGCGAAGGCGGCCAACUGGACGAAUACUGACGCUGAGACACGAAAGCGUGGGGAGCAAACAGG